UACUCGAGUGGCGAACGGGUGAGUAACACGUGGGUGAUCUGCCCUGCACUCUGGGAUAAGCCUGGGAAACUGGGUCUAAUACCGGAUAGGACCGCACUUUAGUGUGUGUGGUGGAAAGUUUUUUCGGUGUAGGAUGAGCCCGCGGCCUAUCAGCUUGUUGGUGGUGUAAUGGCCUACCAAGGCGGCGACGGGUAGCCGGACUGAGAGGGUGACCGGCCACAUUGGGACUGAGAUACGGCCCAG
rnacentral:rRNA from 1 species